rnacentral:rRNA from 1 species
UACGGGGGGAGCAAGCGUUGUUCGGAUUUACUGGGCGUAAAGGGCGCGUAGGCGGUCGUGACAAGUCACUUGUGAAAUCUCCGGGCUUAACUCGGAAAGGUCAACUGAUACUGCAGGGCUAGAGUGCAGAAGGGGCAACUGGAAUUCUCGGUGUAGCGGUGAAAUGCGUAGAUAUCGAGAGGAACACCUGCGGCGAAGGCGGGUUGCUGGGCUGACACGUGACGCUGAGGCGCGAAAGCCAGGGGAGCGAACGGG